rnacentral:misc_RNA from 1 species
AAGUCGUAACAAGGUUUUCGUAGGUGAACCUGCGGAAGGAUCAUUAGUGAAUUCUUGGGAGUCCCUCUUAACCAGAGAAGGCCCAGUCCACUAUUUUACAAACCCUAGUGCAUCUGUCCCCUUUAUAUAUAACCCUUGUGCAUUACAAAAGGUUGUUGUGUUGAUAAUUUGAUAAUUGAAAGAAAAACUUUCAGCAAUGGAUCUCUUGGCUCUC